GGUUCUUUAACGUGCCCCUAAAUUUAAGUACACGGAAACAUCUAUCUUCAUGCAUGCGAUUCCUAAAUUAUGUCACGGAAAAGUCAGCACUCCUCUUUCGAUUUACGUCCAUUGCGGCGUACGAAGCCAUCGCUUUAAUUAACACUUAACUAUUUGCAAUUAAAGAUGUAUUAUCCAGAAUUCUAGCUGCAACAACUCAAUUUAGUGACAAUUUUUUUAUUUCCAGCAGCUCUCUAUACCUUUAAUGCUUAGAUAUAGCACGUCAUAUAGAUAGCAAUCUAAAUUGGGUGUCUCUUGGUAACUGUAUCAAGUGGAAGCUGCACUCUAUAAAUUACCCGUUCCCACUAAGUAUGGCAUACGUCACACAUUCACAUUUCAUGAUAUGUCAGAGCAAAAUUCAACGGGCGAACGACAAAUAUACGACUUAAAAACGUUUUCACGUGGACGACUUUUAUUCGUGUAUAGCCUUCCUCGGGUUAGCGCGCUUCGUUAUAAUAUAAAUGGAAACGCAACAUAGUGUGCAGCAGCAAGAUAAAACAAACGUGAAGUUAGCGUGGUAAUGCGAAGGGAGUUUCGUUAAGUCGAUGUGACCGUUAGUUAGCCGGCGUAACCAGCGAUGGUGCUGCACCAAUUCUGCACCGUUACCGCGGCGCGCCGCUGGUAACGAGAAUGAGUUUUACUUUGCGGUGGUACUGCCAGUACUGCGCGUGCUUCGAACACGCUUCAGGAGUGCACGUCAUCGGUGAGAUGAGUACGGCGAAAGCUGCAGUGUAUGCGACUUUUUUUUUUUUUCUUUGAUUGUUCAAGCAAACUCAAAGCCCCAAUCAACAACAUGCUGAGCAACAGAAGAUGAAACGUAGCGGAGGCGGGCUCGUAAGUUUCGUUACUGUUGAAGAAACUGAACAUACGUAUACAUAGAGUCCUGUGAAAACUUGCGACGCCAAGGUAUAUUCACGAGAGGGGUUCACUGCGCUUUCUC
rnacentral:lncRNA from 1 species